rnacentral:rRNA from 1 species
UACGUAGGGUGCAAGCGUUUGUCCGGAAUUAUUGGGCGUAAAAGAGCUCGUAGGCGGUCUGUCGCGUCUGCUGUGAAAACUCGGGGCUUAACCCCGGGCCUGCAGUGGGUACGGGCAGACUAGAGUGCGGUAGGGGGAGACUGGGAAUUCCUGGUGUAGCGGUGAAAUGCGUAGAUAUCGGGAGGAACACCUGUGGCGAAAGCGGCUCACUGGACCGCAACUGACGCUGAGGCGCGAAAGCGUGG